rnacentral:rRNA from 1 species
UACAGAGGUCUCAAGCGUUGUUCGGAUUCAUUGGGCGUAAAGGGUGCGUAGGUGGCGUCGUAAGUCAGGUGUGAAAUCUCGGGGGCUUAACUCCGAAACUGCAUUUGAUACUGCGGUGCUUGAGGACUGGAGAGGAGACUGGAAUUUACGGUGUAGCAGUGAAAUGCGUAGAGAUCGUAAGGAAGACCAGGUGGCGAAGGCGGGUCUC